GGAAGUCUUCUUAAAUUCUUUCAAAGUUUUUUAAAGUCUGCAAAAGUGUUCAACGCUUUAAUUUUCUGUCGUCUAUAGACUAGGCAAAGUUUACAAAGUAAGCAAAGCAAGCGAAAAGUAGGCGAAUAAAUGCCCCCCUCAGCCUUUUCUACUUUUCUACCGCAUACCACACCCCUGCUGAGUGCACCCCAGCCAGGCUACGCUAUCAUCUUCAUCAUCUUCAUCAUCAUCAUCAUCCAUGAAUGAUCUUCCCCAGGGAGCCUCCUUACCCCGAACUGGACGCUUCCCCCUUGGAGAGUUUUGGUGGGGGGUGUUGGGGGGCGCUAAUCACAUCCCAGCCCGCUGACAGCAGCCAUUCAGCGCUGCCACUUUAAGAGCCUGGCACCCAGCAGCCUUUUCUUCGCCUCUCGCUGUGACGUCCGCGCUGAGGCAGCUCUGUUUUUCCCCAUCCUCUUCUUCUUCUUCCUCUCCUUGGUCCUUUUGGUCCUUUUGUUGAUGCACUUUAGCACGGAUCUACGGGUCUUCAAUCCGGUGUCAAAGCCAGUUUCGGAGAUCGGAAUGAAUUGUCACCAGUGAGAAUCGAGUCGUUGCCUGACUGGAAUAUGUCGUAUCUUGUGUUGGAGCGCCAAUGGAGAGUACGCUGACUAAAGAGUACGCAUGCACUGGAGGCUGGAGGCUAAACCGUGCAUGCAUCCAUGCAUGCAUCCAUGCAUGCAUACUGUGAUGAUGUUGAUGACAAGUGCAUUGACAGUUGCAGCACAUUGACCUUUGAUCGUGGACCUGAAGCUGCAGCAGGAGCAGGAGCGAACGCACCUAUUCCAGAAGCACAACGGCGAGAAGGAGGGUCUGGUCCAGGAGCACCAGCGGGAGAUCUCCAGCCUAGAGAGGCAGGCGAGGGCCGCCAUGCUCCAGCACCAGGCUCAGACCCAGGAGUGGAGGAGGCGCGACGGGCAGGUAGGGGCUCUCGUUUCCCUGCGUUUUCCUGCGUUUUCCUGUGUUUUUCCUGUGUUUGUCCGCGAUCUCCUCCAUUUUGGUUCGGUUUGCUGAUGUUUUCAGUUGUUGACAUUGCUAGUUUUUCGAUAAAUCCUUAAUUUAUUGUCUUUUUUAUGUUCUUAAUCGAGCUACGUUAAAAUGUUUAAGUGUUGUGGUCGUUUUCUUUAACGUUUUAAAAAUUUGUAAUUCAGUAUUUCGCCAGAUAUUUGUUGUCCGCGAAACGAAGUGCCAGCGUUUUAGCGCUGUGGAGCAUGGAGCGUGCAGAAUGGUGUUCGUAAAAAGUGAAAAAUGGUUUCGUACAAAGCAAAAAACACUUUUUUUUGUGACUUUUAGCGACUGUAGUGUUUCCAGCGAUGUCUCCAGCAGCGUUCUGAGCAUCGUCUUAAGAAAGCGGCGUCUUCAGCGGCGUUUAGCGGAACAACAGAAAAGCUCCAGCUGCCAAAACCACAGGUUGCCAGUUGAAGGAGGCGAAUCUCUAAGCGCAAUAUGACCACAUGCUUUUAUUCAUCACCCUGGGAAGCAUUUCUGUCCUUUUCAUCGCUCCCACCGUCCUCUCACCGCAGGUAGCCGCCAUCCCCUCCUAAGCACCAGUUCAUCACGCUUUAUUUUCCUGUUCUGCAGUUUAGCGUAUAUUAAUGAUGUUCUGAGCUCCAGCACUAGAAAGCUUCACUGGUUUAGCAGCAGGUCUCCCUCGUUCUUCUCGUCCUCCUCGUCCUCCCCUCGCUCCGGCGAUCGCUCCAUCUCUGUGGGAAGCCAUUGGGCAGCCGAGCCCCCGACCGGGCACACUUUCGCCUCCUCAAACCCUGAGAUAUAAUAUAAAUUGUCAGCAUGGCUAAACCAUGUUUAUUAGCGUCGAGCAGGAGAAGCCGUCCAGCUGUGGCGUCCAGUGGUGCUGUAGUGAAGGACGGAGGACGGCGGAUCCGUGAGACGCUGAGACUCGUGAGAAACCUCUUUACUUGG
ensembl:lncRNA